AGAACCAGAGGGCAGAACAGGCAGCUGCCGCCCAUUGUUAGGAGAGGCGGGAGACGUCACCCCGCCUGAUUCU
ncrna:unclassified sequences skipping-rope RNA